GACGAACGCUGGCGGCGUGCUUAACACAUGCAAGUCGAACGGUGAAGCGCCUUCCUUUUUGGUGGGUGUGGAUGAGUGGCGAACGGGUGAGUAACACGUGAGUAACCUGCCCCCUUCUUCUGGAUAACCGCAUGAAAGUGUGGCUAAUACGGGAUAUUCUGGGUCUGUCGCAUGAUGGGUCUGGGAAAGAUAUUGUUUCGGUGGGGGAUGGGCUCGCGGCCUAUCAGCUUGUUGGUGGGGUGAUGGCCUACCAAGGCGGUGACGGGUAGCCGGCCUGAGAGGGUGGGGGACAACAGAGGGGGGAAGACGGGCCCAAGCCUCCGGGGGGGGGCAGGAGGGGAAAUUAUGGAACGGGGGGAGAAAGGAUGGUGAAGCGGCGCGGGGGGGGGGAGGGGGGCCUUGGGGUUGUAAACCUUUUUGGGGAGAGAAGAAGGGUGGCAUUGUUUGGGGGGGGUUGGACGGGAGCGGAACAGAAAGCCCCGGCUAACUACGUG
rnacentral:rRNA from 1 species